AUUGAACGCUGGCGGCAUGCCUUACACAUGCAAGUCGAACGGCAGCACGGGAGCAAUCCUGGUGGCGAGUGGCGAACGGGUGAGUAAUAUAUCGGAACGUGCCCAGUCGUGGGGGAUAACGUAGCGAAAGCCACGCUAAUACCGCAUACGAUCUAUGGAUGAAAGCGGGGGAUCGCAAGACCUCGCGCGAUUGGAGCGGCCGAUAUCAGAUUAGGUAGUUGGUGGGGUAAAGGCUCACCAAGCCGACGAUCUGUAGCUGGUCUGAGAGGACGACCGGCCAAACUGGGACUGGGCCACGGCCCAGACUCCUACGGGAGGCAGCAGUGGGGAAUUUUGGACAAUGGGCGCAAGCCUGAUCCAGCAAUGCCGCGUGCAGGAUGAAGGCCUUCGGGUUGUAAACUGCUUUUGUACGGAGCGAAAAGGCUUCCACUAAUACUGGGGGCUCAUGACGGUACCGUAAGAAUAAGCACCGGCUAACUACGUGCCAGCCGCCGCCGUAAUAC
rnacentral:rRNA from 1 species